UACGUAGGGCGCAAGCGUUAUCCGGAAUUAUUGGGCGUAAAGAGCUCGUAGGCGGUUUGUCGCGUCUGCCGUGAAAGUCCGGGGCUCAACUCCGGAUCUGCGGGUGGGGUACGGGCAGACUAGAGGUGAUGUAGGGGAGACUGGAAUUCCUGGUGUAGCGGUGAAAUGCGCAGAUAUCAGGAGGAACACCGAUGGCGAAGGCAGGUCUCUGGGCAUUAACUGACGCUGAGGAGCGAAAGCAUGGGGAGCGAACAGG
rnacentral:rRNA from 1 species